AUAAUAUAAGAUUUGGUCUGCCCACUGAGGAUUUGAAGGGCCGCGGUAUUUUGACCGUGCAAAGGUAGCAUAAUAAUUAGUUUCUUAAUUGGGAGCUGGUAUGAAUGGCUGGACGAGAAAGUUUCUGUCUCUAAUUAAUUUUUAAUGGAAUUUUAUUUUUGAGUAAAAAAGCUUAAAUUGUUUUGAAAGACGAGAAGACCCUAUAGAGUUUAAUUUUUAUUGUAAGUUGGGUAUUUAGGAAUUUAAUUAUUAAAUUUGUUUUAAAAAUUUUGUUGGGGUGAUGUAAAGAUUAAAUUAACUCUUUUUUUUAUUGUUACAUUGAUUUAUGAGUUUUUGAUCCAUUUUUAGUGAUUAUAAGAAUAAAUUACCUUAGGGAUAACAGCGUAAUCUUUUUUGAGAGUUCUUAUCGAAAUAAGGGAUUGCGACCUCGAUGUUGGAUUAAAAUUAAUUAUUGGUGCAGAAGCUAUAUGAUUGAGUCUGUUCGACUUUUGAAAUUUUACAUGAUCUGAGUUUAAACCGGCGUGAGCCAGGUUGGUUUCUAUCUUUAGAUAAUUAUAGUAUUUUAGUACGAAAGGACCAA
rnacentral:rRNA from 1 species